UCCCAAUGAUGAUAAUCAUGUGGCUUACUAUCUGUUUUGGAGUUAGAACCUGCAAAGGUUGAACCCACUAACACCAGCAGAUGGAAAAGAGGAAACUUGCUCCAGAAGGAACAGUCUGAUGGGAU